rnacentral:rRNA from 1 species
AUACGGAGGGUGCAAGCGUUGUUCGGAAUUAUUGGGCGUAAAGCGCGUGUAGGCGGUCUUUUAAGUCUGAUGUGAAAGCCCCGGGCUCAACCUGGGAAGUGCAUUGGAAACUGGGAGACUUGAGUACGGGAGAGGAGAGUGGAAUUCCUAGUGUAGGAGUGAAAUCCGUAGAUAUUAGGAGGAACACCGGUGGCGAAGGCGGCUCUCUGGACCGAUACUGACGCUGAGACGCGAAAGCGUGGGUAGCAAACAGGAUUAGAUACCCUGGUAGUCCACGCCGUAAACGAUGAGUACUAGGUGUUGCGGGUAUUGACCCCUGCAGUGCCGUAGUAAACGCAAUAAGUAUCCCGCCUGGGGAGUACGGCCGCAAGGUUGAA